rnacentral:misc_RNA from 1 species
AAGUCGUAACAAGGUUUCCGUAGGUGAACCUGCGGAAGGAUCAUUAGCGAAGUUCGGAAUGCAUGUUCGAUGUUGAUGCUGCCCAGCAAUGGGAUGUGCUCGCUCGGAUGUGUGUCCCUUCUCUAUCCACCCCAUUGUGAACCAAGUGUGUGAGCCGAAGAGAAAUCGGAUGCUCGCAUGCAAACCUUUAACAUACCCCAAUUAAGUAUCAGAAUGUACCUUGCGUUAACUCGCACAAAUAUAACUUUCAACAACGGAUCUCUUGGCUCUC